rnacentral:rRNA from 1 species
UACAGAGGGUGCGAGCGUUAAUCGGAGUUACUGGGCGUAAAGGGCGCGUAGGCGGUUAUAUGAGUGUGAUGUGAAAGCCCUGGGCUUAACCUAGGAAGCGCAUCGCAAACGAUAUAACUGGAGUAUAGGAGAGGGUGGCGGAAUUUCCGGUGUAGCGGUGAAAUGCGUAGAUAUCGGAAGGAACGUCAAUGGCGAAGGCAGCCACCUGGCCUAAUACUGACGCUGAGGCGCGAAAGCGUGGGGAGCGAACAGG